rnacentral:lncRNA from 1 species
CACACCUUUAAGGCUAUGCCCUCAUCCAGGUUCCCUCUCCAUCUCCUCAAAACACAAGCCACACACACUGCUCCUCAGAAGUAUGAGUGGAGCUUCCUGCCUCAUCAGACCAUCUGACGGGGAAGCACAUUCUUACCUUUCUGUUUCUGCCUGACAGCAGAACUGAGCCUUGGACAGCUAGUACACGAGUGUGCCCAUGACUGCGGAGGCCCAGGAAGUUCCAGAAAGGUGGCCACACAUAGGAGCUGGGGCCUCACACAUAAGCAGCAUAGUGCCCCCCAAGGACCACACCCAUCUGUAUAUGAUGGCCUCCUGGAGGGGUAUGGUAGGACUGAUGAAGCAAGAGGUCAGGGCUGCCCAUGACAGGUAUUUCCCCUCCUGCCUCUCAAACUCACCUUAGAAACUACUGAUCCUCCCACUGCCCCAGCUGAUGCUUUGAACUUUCUCAAAAAACUUGUGUUUGAGCAACUGGAUUUCACAGAUACCUGAAUGGUCACUUAGGGCCAUCCUUGAACCUGUCCCUUGGAGAUGUCUUCUGCUGAAACAUCCUCCAUGGCCCCAACCACAGCUGAGUGACAGGAAGGUGAGACAGGGACUGUUCUCUGGCAGUGAGGAAUGAAGGAAGUCUUACAUUGUGUAGGUUAUGAGCUCUUGAGAGCAGGCAGGAGGUAAAUGGGAUAAGGACAGAGCUAGAAGUCCUAUGAAUAUGGAGGUGAUAUACAGAGGUGCGUGUGUCUGCUCCGGAGUAGGGUAGCCACAUGAAGUGUAUGUGUACACAAGUGCGUGCGGAACUCGGGCUGAAGGGAGUGACCCUGCAAAUGUGACUUCCAGAUAACAAGACUCUUCUGAGCCAGCUCUGACAACUGAUCUCUUCCCUGCCUGUCCACCUGGGGUGUGUGUGUGUGUGUGUGUGUGUGUGUGUGUGUGUGUGUGUGUGUCCACAUGUAUGUAACCCCUAGAUUAGCUGUGCUGAGGAAGGAGGCUGCCUGUCCAUUCCAGAAUAUUCUGCUGCAGGGCCCAGCACCUCCUGCCCCCACCUUGGCUUCUUUGGAGAUGUCAGAGGAGGCCCCAGGAUCUAGUUCCCUUCUUCUUUCAGCCCAGCCAGAACUCCCAUUAACUCAGAUGUUUCUAGCAGCCUCCCUGACACCCCAGUCAUGGUGUUCACAAGGACAGGGCUGUGGCUGGCAUGCUGCUCCUGCCUCUUUGAAUGGCACUGGGCCCACAGCUGCCCACCACUGAGCCUCAAACAGAUGAGCCGUCCCUGAGAGUCUGCUGUAACCCAGCUUUCUAAGACCCACACCUCACACGAUGGACAUGUUCGUUGACUGCUGUCCACAUGUGUAUCCUGGAUGGUUGUCUGGGGGCUGGUGUCUGUUGCAUGUUCUCAGAUGUGUGCUGCGUGCCCUCCACACACCCCAAACCAUCAAGCCCAAUUAUACUCCCUUGGUGGUCCCAGGCCCAAGCCAGGACUCAAUGCUUCCAUUCUCCCUUUCCUUGCCUCUUACAAAGCACACUGCGUGUCCAUCUCAUGUGCCCAUGGGUCAUCAUGCUCCCGUCAUACCUUGAGCGUGUACACAUGUGUGUUCUAUGCACUCGCCCUGCCCUACCUACCCAACAGAGGACAAGAUGGUCGGCCCCUAGCUCCCUUCUCCCCCACCUAGCCUUUCCCCACGCCCUGCUGUGCAGCUGUGUGCGUUGGUGUGUUUCUGUGUCGCUGGCGUGUCAUGUGAUGUAGCCAUGUUUGCUGACAUGAGCCCCUGCCCCCUUCUCUUUUUCUCCAUUGGUUUCUAGAACUCUCUUCCUCCCCUCCCCUGAGGGGACAGGACUCCUGGGGCCUAGCUGGGGGCCCGAGCCUGGCCACCCUCCUGUUAGCCCUCAGAGUCUUAUUUCUCUCUAUUGGUGACCAAGUUGCAAAUGGAUAAAAUACAGGAAAUUCUGACCCCCUGCCCCAGACCUGCAUGUCCUGUCCCCAGUGCCCCCGAACCCCAUCCUGGGCCGGGUUGGGCCUGGUGGGACGGGAGAAAUAGCAACUAAUCCAACAGCGGG